AUUGAACGCUGGCGGCAUGCUUUACACAUGCAAGUCGAACGGUAACAGGGUGCUUGCACCGCUGACGAGUGGCGAACGGGUGAGUAAUGCGUCGGAACGUGCCGAGUAGUGGGGGAUAACGCAGCGAAAGUUGUGCUAAUACCGCAUACGUACUGAGGUAGAAAGUGGGGGACCUUCGGGCCUCACGCUAUUCGAGCGGCCGACGUCUGAUUAGCUAGUAGGUGAGGUAAAGGCUCACCUAGGCGACGAUCAGUAGCGGGUCUGAGAGGAUGAUCCGCCACACUGGGACGGAGACACGGCCCAGACUCCUACGGGAGGCAGCAGUGGGGAAUUUUGGACAAUGGGCGAAAGCCUGAUCCAGCCAUGCCGCGUGUCUGAAGAAGGCCUUCGGGUUGUAAAGGACUUUUGUCGGGGAGGAAAUCCCCAGCGUUAAUACCGCUGGGGGAUGACAGUACCGGAAGAAUAAGCCCCGGCUAACUUCGUGCCAGCCGCCGCCGUAA
rnacentral:rRNA from 1 species